CAAUGAACAAGUGUCAUGUGAAAAGAAAGAAUUUAGCACGUUUGAUAAGGCCAGAAUCAUUGAUUUCAGACAGCAAUUACACACAUAUUUAUUUAGUGGCUCAAGUAAACAGAACUCCCAGAAGCAAUUUCUUGUUGAAUUUAAACAAACACUACAGAGUUACAGGAAUCUCUUUAGUUUGUUAUGCCAGUACAAACGAAAUAUCAUCACAAAGCAAUCCAGAUGAUGAAAUAUCAGAUCAACCAACACCAUUGCAGGAGAUAAUGAAAAAUGUUGUGAAAAUCCAAACGGAGAAGCAACUUUUGAGAGCUUAGGUCUUGGUGGUUAUAGUCCAGUCGGACUUGUACAGAAUUUUCUAGAAUUUAUGCACAUAAGUCGUGAUAUUGUUACAUGAUGGACAGCAAUUCUCUUUGAUUUUUAACAAAAGUACUAAUUGUGCAAUCGUGUUUCAAGUACUGUUUGUGCAAGGACUAUUAUAUUCCCGUUGGUAAUGAUGUCAAAAGAAUGCGAUCAAAUUCAGUAAUCACACACCUGUGAUACAAAAGUUGCAAAGGAAAAUGACGGACGCUAGGAUUCGGUGAUCCAGUCGAAAGUAUGCUAAGAGAAUUUUGUAAAGAAUUUUUAUCUUGUCCGCCAUUAGGGAGGAUUAUAUGUUAUUCUUGUAACAAGUGCAAGGACAGCGAGUGAGUUAAUGAAUUACAUGAAGAAGAAUGGAGUUAAUGCCAUGAAGAAUAUUAUGAUGCCAUUAAUCC